rnacentral:rRNA from 1 species
GGGGAAUAUUGCACAAUGGAGGAAACUCUGAUGCAGCAACGCCGCGUGAGUGAUGAAGGUUUUCGGAUCGUAAAACUCUGUUGUUAGGGACGAACAAGUACCGUUCGAAUAGGGCGGUACCUUGACGGUACCUAACCAGAAAGCCACGGCUAACUACGUGCCAGCAGCCGCGGUAAUACGUAGGUGGCAAGCGUUGUCCGGAAUUAUUGGGCGCAAAGCGCGCGCAGGCGGUUUCUUAAGUCUGAUGUGAAAGCCCCCGGCUCAACCGGGGAGGGUCAUUGGAAACUGGGGAACUUGAGUGCAGAAGAGGAGAGUGGAAUUCCACGUGUAGCGGUGAAAUGCGUAGAGAUGUGGAGGAACACCAGUGGCGAAGGCGACUCUCUGGUCUGUAACUGACGCUGAGGCGCGAAAGCGUGGGGAGCAAAC